GUGAAUCAUCGAAUUUUUGAACGCAAAUUGCACUCUCUGGUAUUCCGGAGAGUAUGCCUGUUUGAGGGUCAGUUUAAAUAAAAACCGGUGUGUUUGGUGCCGUUCGUGGUGACGCACCGGAUGUGGGUCGUCCUGCCUUCGGUUAAGUGGCCUUAAAUUUUGCAUGAUGUUUUCGUACGUAUUUAAAUGAUUUUACGUACGACUGCGAUAUCGAAUACUAGGUUCGGUGAUCC
rnacentral:misc_RNA from 1 species